GACGAACCGUGCGAACGUUGUUCGGAAUCACUGGGCUUAAAGGGCGCGUAGGCGGAUGACCAAGUCAGAGGUGAAAUCCUGCGGCUUAACCGUAGAAGAGCCCCUGAUACUGGUUGUCUCGAGGGAGGUAGGGGCAUGUGGAACUUCCGGUGGAGCGGUGAAAUGCGUAGAUAUCGGAAGGAACGCCGGUGGCGAAAGCGACGUGCUGGACCUCUUCUGACGCUGAGGCGCGAAAGCUAGGGGAGCAAGCGGG
rnacentral:rRNA from 1 species